AUUGAACGCUGGCGGCAGGCCUAACACAUGCAAGUCGAACGGUAACAGGAAGAAGCUUGCUUCUUUGCUGACGAGUGGCGGACGGGUGAGUAAUGUCUGGGAAACUGCCUGAUGGAGGGGGAUAACUACUGGAAACGGUAGCUAAUACCGCAUAACGUGCCAAGACCAAAGAGGGGGACCUUCGGGCCUCUUGCCAUCGGAUGUGCCCAGAUGGGAUUAGCUUGUUGGUGGGGUAACGGCUCACCAAGGCGACGAUCCCUAGCUGGUCUGAGAGGAUGACCAGCCACACUGGAACUGAGACACGGUCCAGACUCCUACGGGAGGCAGCAGUGGGGAAUAUUGCACAAUGGGCGCAAGCCUGAUGCAGCCAUGCCGCGUGUAUGAAGAAGGCCUUCGGGUUGUAAAGUACUUUCAGCGGGGAGGAAGGGAGUAAAGUUAAUACCUUUGCUCAUUGACGUUACCCGCAGAAGAAGCACCGGCUAACUCCGUG
rnacentral:rRNA from 1 species